CACGACCUUGCGCUUGCCAGGCAGGCGCUUUUGCCGCUGAGCUAAAUCCCCAGCCCCCCUGUCAUCUUUUUAAAUAACAAGAUUAUUUCUACUAAUGAACAAAGAGGCUAUACUGAGUUAAACAUCGGUUUUGUCACUCAGAUAAAUACUGUACAUCAAGAGCUUAAUUCAAUGACCAUAUCACGUUUCUGGCAAGGUAAGAGAUGGAGGAUCUAAAGGUAAAUGUUUCCUGAAAGUGUGUAAAGGGUAGGAAAAAAAAACUUGCUAGAAAGAGAUGUACAAUAACAUAUGAUAAUUAUAUCAGAGAGAUAAAGGCCAUGGCAGAAAAGGAAACCACAAUUUUGCUCUGUCUGGGAAAUACCACGGCCACUAAGUAGGACAUAUUAUGCUUGUGAAUAGUGUGUUUUAAAUGUAUGUGGAAGUGCAUGAUUGAAGCCAUAUCUUAACUCUGUAAUGUCUGUGUAUUCCAUUUUAUAGGUGAAGAAAAUGUGUCAGAAAAGUUGAUAAACUUGCUUUCCUUCAUUUGCAUUUUUUCUUCAUUUAACUCCUUUUACGGAAAUAGCCACUCUACUUUGUUCUACUUCAUUCUUUGCCUUCCUCCCUAUUCCACGGCUCUAACAAUCUUUUCUCUCAUUUGCUUCUGAAAUCUUUCUGUAGUUCGCUUAAUGUGUUGUAAUACUAGUGUGUCAUUUCUGGGUACCUGGGGAACCCUAAGUCCUGGGUUUUAGUUCAUAGCAGAGUAAGAGGAAGGUCCGUACUCCAGACUGCAGGACAUCUGAGAAGUGACUUAAAUUGCAACACACAUAAUGAACCCAAGGAUGCCUUCUGAAAGAGUUCACUUUUUGAUAAAUAUUGCAUAUCUCGAUGUCUCAUAACAUCUCAGGUUCUCUUGGAGGUGUUUUUCCAUUUUCUCUCUUACCACUGUUGAGUUGUGUUAUUUACGGUAGGGUCAGUGAAAAUUUACUUUUAUUUGGAGACCUAAAACAUUUUUACUCAUAAAAAUGCAAAUGUGAAUAGUGUUUCUUUCAUUGUGUAUAUUCAUCACAUUUUAAGAACUCCGGUAGUUAGUGUACUUAGUUACAAUUAGACAGGACAAAUGUUCCCUAGAGGAGUAGAAUGAUUAUAGAUAAUGGUAAUGGAAUAUAUAUCUCAAAAGCUAGAAUAUUCUGAAUGUUCUUAGAACAAAGAAUUAAUAAAGCUUAAGGACCUAGACUGCAUAUCCUAAUUUGAAUGGUACACAGUGUAUACAUGUAUUGAAACAUCACAUGGUACAUUAAAUAUGUAUAUGUUUAUGUGUUAAGUAAAAUACAUAUAUAAAAAAGAAAAUCUGAUUUUACAGUACUAGUGAACACAUUCAUUAUAUUGCAAAAAUUGUUACUUAGCUGAUCGUUUUUAUUCAAUUAUACUGACAUUUUUAUUUCAUUCUCCCUGUCCCUUCAAAUACAAAGAGUUAAUCCUGUAAAGACUAUUUGAGGCAUUUGGUAUGAUGUUCUGUAUUAAAACAUCACAUUUUAAGAUUAUGUAAAUCAAGUAUAUAAUAUAAUAUUUUGUAACCUUCCAUAGGGCCAAUUGCAUAGGUUUGUGAAAAAUGUAAGCCACACUGUAACUGUAGAGAUGUAAGAAAUCAAACAGGGCAUAAUCUGUCUGGUUUCUUUUGUUGUUUCUGUGGCACUAAUGAAAGAUGUCUCCUUGCUCUUACACCCUUACUUGCCACAAUCUGUAGAUUUCAGUCCUAAAGGAAAGCCAAAGCUCAGAGAGCCGUGAGCUGGAAAUGCACAUUGAACAUUCAACUCAUCUGUUCUGAGAACCCUUCUCACAGCCUAAUGUUACAGAGGAGGAAGGAGAGGCUGAACAAGACCGAGCAACUUGACAAAGUCAUAUUUCAAGCAAGUGGCAGGGCCUACACAGGAGCACAUGCGCUGUGCCUGUGAGCUGUGCUCUGCCUCCUCCGCAUGUUCUGCACUGGAUGAUGGUCCAGAAUAAAACUGGGAGGAAACCAAGGAACAGCAAACUCGACCCCAGAAGGAAAGGAAGGUAUUCCUUCUCUUAGGUUACGAACAGGUGGUCAGGAACUUAGCCCGGCCCGGAAGAGACUUCUGUGAUAUGCGGAGGAUGGGUGCACAAGCAUGCUCAUGGGAAAGUGUCCGCCCCAAGGAGCCUACUGAGCAGUGUGUUUUUGAAGGAAUGACCAUAUCACUGCAUUUGUAAGGACUAGACCCCACCAAAGGCCUUCCGCAGUACUGUAAUCCCCCAUGAAACUUGCCAAUACAGUGGGUACCUUUUACUGAGACUCAUGUUAAAGGAUUUCAUGAGGAUACUAUGGUCCAGUUUCUCAACUUUGGUGCAGACUACACCAGAUAACGUUGGCUUGGGCCAUGGAGUGAAGAAUAAUAGUAACCACUUCUGAUCCCAGCAGUCGUGCAAGCCCAGAAUCAUCUGAGACCCUGUACUGAAUGGACCGGGCUAAGGUACUGUUACUCACAGACUGUCCAGAGAGAGGCUACUGCAUUAGGGGUCAGAAGUUACUCCUACAGUGAAAUAAAAUUUGAGCCACCACCAGUUUCCUCACUAAGGGCUUUCCCAAAGGUGAGGUGUGUUGAGAGUUUUCAAGGAGGGGCUCUGUGCUACGCACACCGUGCAGUCGUAGAAGUCUCAUACAACGAUUACCCACCUCAUCAACCUCCAAUGACUCUGUGAUCACACUAAGGGGAUUUUCUUCCACUGCCUUUAAACCAUUCCUCAGUGUCCUUUCCUUAUUUCUGCCCUUUGCUACAUCAGACACAUACAUUUCUGUGACUGAAGAGAAAAGUAGCUGUCUGAGGACGACUUCCAAUUGACAUCAUUUUGGAACCUCACAGGGAGAUGUUCAUUACUGUCCAAAUGGAGAGAAAGUUCUGCUGCGGUGACCAAAGACAUCUCAGAUCAUACAACUCAGACAUAUACCACCCAGAACAACCCAUCCAGAGAACCUGCUUGGCUUAAUCUCAUGGUGAGCUGAUGGAGCUUCAAAGAUCAGGAAAAUACUGAUAACAUCGGAAUGAUGCUUCUGUAGUGUUGAAAACCCUGCAAAUCCUGCGUUCAUCCUCUCUCCCCUCACAGAGUCCUUCCCAAGAUUUCUUUCUCCACUACCUGACAUCCUGUUUCCCCAUCUCAGAUAUCAUCUACAUGCCAAACAGUGUCAAACGGCAGGGUCUCCAUUCUCCAAGUCUUUGAUAUAUCUAAAUGCCGUAAUACUCACUUCAUGCAAUAAACGGUUCUGACAAUGGAAUUCACCGUUCUUUCCCCUCAGCUUUUCUGGGCCUUCACUUUGAUUAGAGCUGGCAUUUUGUUCUCUACUGUAUAUCUAGAAAUACAGAUCACUGUCCAUCUCUCUGUCUUCCCUACCAGGUUCCAAGCAACUUGUAAAUAAGAAUUCUAUUAUCCACUUUUGCAUCACCGUUGUGUCUAGUACAGUGCAUUUUUUUUCAGAAAAAAAGAUUAAGUAUACAGUAUUUGCAAUUAGCUAUUUUGAUCAAAGAGUAAAUUUUCCCUAUCUUGGUCCAUGUGUACAGUAAUAUAUGCAUGACAUGUAUAAAUAGAAAUGUUUAGAAUGAAUGUGUGAAGUUGGACACAUGGACCAGGGUAGACUAGUAAGGGCCUGCUGCUUUGUAGGAAGAAGUUCUGAGAGUCUAGCCAUCACGGGCCUCGAGCAGACCGUGGUUUGAACAGAGAAAGAAACUGUCCGUGAACAACAGUAUAUGGCAGAGGGAUUAGGUGAGAGAACCAUGAACCCUCAGCACGAGACCCUGAUCUCCAUCACGCCUGCUUCUUCUCUCUUCUGUAGGAGGAAUGAAGCCAGCUAUCAUGCCAAGGAGAUGCACAGGCAGGGGCUGAGGCCUCACUCACACAGCUAUUGAGAACCGGACCUUGCCUGCAGCCAUGUGCAUGGCCUUGGAAGUGGCUAUUCCCUGGCUGAGCUUUCAAAUGACACCACAGCCCUGGCAUGGUUGAGGCUGACUGAGAAACUGUGAAGCAGAGGAAUGAACUAAUCACAUCCAGAUUCUUGACUCACAGACACUGUCAGAUAUGAUGCACUGUGACUUACAUUUCAAAGUCUAUGGUGAUGUUUUAGCUAGCGGUAAAUAACUAAGACAAUAUUCAGCAUGCACUGACUGAAUGAAGAAAUCAUGCUUGAAGCCUUAUUUGUCUGAAAAGAAUACUUGAUUUACAGUUAAGUCACCUAAACUUUUUAGUGUAAUGCAAUUAUAUACUAGUUAUAGGAUCAUGCCAACUUCUUUGUUUUCUCUGGGGUUCAGAUACAUCAUCUGUUAUGGUAACAGAUUACUUGGUAAGUAAUUUAUACAACUGAUAACACCUCUGCCAGCAUUUAGAUUUCAUAUGUAUAUGUAUUCACAAAUACACAUAUAUGCAUACAAGUUGUACCUAUGUCUAUGUAAUAGGAGAGACCUAGAUAAAAUAAGAUUGCAUUAAAUAUAAAUUUAGUCUUCUGAUGAAAUUGAUGUUACCUUCCCAGAAACCUCAUUUUACAAUUCAUCCAUUUUAACUUCAAUAAAAUAUUUGGUUUUCUUGUGGUAAAAUUUAAUUUAAAAUACAUAUGCUUCAAAUGUCUAACAUUUUAUAUUGUUGAAUAAUCACUGAAUUUUCAAAUUAUUUGAACAUGCUAGGUUAAGAUAUCUAAAGUGUACUGAUCACAUACAAUGUACAUUUUAAAAUAUGAGGAAGACAUUUACAUUUAGAGGAUAAGAUUGGAGUAUCAGUUAAAAUCCAGAUGUCUCCAUCAUUUAAUAAAUGGCAGACAAAUGUAUGACAGAAAAAUCAGGUUUACUUAAUCUUUCAAACUACGUAAUCUUACAGCCAUAUUCUAAGUGAUUGGGAUUGCGAGAGAGAAGACAAGUUACCAAGGUAUUUUUGGAGUUCGAAAUCUUAAAAUAUUGAUCAAGAUAUAUCUGUGAAAGAAUUUUUGAACUUGCAAUUCCAAAACUCAAAUGCAACUUGCAAACAUGAUAAAAAGAUAAGAUGUUGUUUCCUGUUGCUAUGGUUACAAAUUAUCAUAAACUUGGCUGGUCAAAGCAACACCCAUUUAUUUUCUCCCAGUUUCUAAGACUCAAAAGUGCUAGUUCAGUAGGAUCCAACCCAGCUCUUUGCUGAGGUUUCACAAGGUAAAAGCAAGCUGUCAACAAGCUGCAUUUCUCAGCAGAAUCUGUGGAAGAAUCGGUUUCUACACUCCUUCCACAUGGAUGUAGGAGUCAUUUCUUUCUCGCGUUCCAUGUUGUUCCUGCAUUUUUAUGCAGCCCAAGUCCUUACGCUUCAGAUCUUCCUUUUCUUUUGAUCCUGUUUUUAAAUACUUUGUGAGAAUACAUUAAGCCCACCUGGAUAAUCCUGGAAAAUCUCCUUAUUUUUAGAUGAAGCUCCAUUCUCUGUAAGAAAUUCUUUUGUCAUGGUAUGUACCAAACAGUAAGGAUGACGCUAAGGGCCAGAUCACAGAGACCAAAAUUCAGCCAAUCAUGUACAACAAAGCUCUUGAUUUCCUCUCCUGUUUUGACAUGAUCUGUGGUUUUACCUACUCAGUUUUGUCAUUUUUUACAUAUUAAAUUUCAUUGCUAUGCAAAUGCCUACAAAUAUCUUUACACAAAAUGUAAUCUAUUGAAGGAAAAAUAAUUUAAGUAAGGAAAUAAUAAAAGAAGUUACCUUUUG